AUUGAACGCUGGCGGAAUGCUUUACACAUGCAAGUCGAACGGUAGAGGGGGCAACCCCUCGAGAGUGGCGAACGGGUGAGUAAUAUAUCGGAACGUGCCCAGUCGUGGGGGAUAACGUAGCGAAAGUUACGCUAAUACCGCAUACGAUCUAAGGAUGAAAGCGGGGGGUCGCAAGACCUCGCGCGAUUGGAGCGGCCGAUAUCAGAUUAGGUAGUUGGGGGGGUAAAGGCUCACCAAGCCAACGAUCUGUAGUUGGUCUGAGAGGACGACCAGCGAAACUGGAAAUGAGACAUGUUCACGACGCCUACGGGAGGCAGAAGUGGGGAACUUUGGACAAUGGACGCGAGUGUGAUCCAGCCAUUCCGCGUGCAGGAUGACGGCCCUCGGGUUGUAAACUGCUUUUGUACGGAACGAAAAGGUCUCUCUUAAUACGGGGGACUCAUGACGGUACCGUAAGAAUAAGCACCGGCUAACUACGUGCCAGCAGCCGCGGUAACAC
rnacentral:rRNA from 1 species